rnacentral:sRNA from 1 species
AUGCCAAGAAAGCAAAGGCAAAUAUCCUGUGCCAGCAGAAUCAAAAACGGGAGUGGUUCCUUCACCUGCAAACCGAAUAUUCCGCAGGAUGUAGAAAAUGUACAAAUUGGACUUGUCGAACAAAAUCCUGGCUCAAGUUCUUGCAAGAAGAACAAGUCUUUCAAAUUAAUAAGAAAGCAGAGAGCGUGCAGGUGGAAUUGCAACCUGAAAUGCGGUGCCAAUGCCUUUCCGAAAAGGAGAGGCCGCAAAUGUCGGUGUAAGAAAGGCUAUCGCGGAAACCCAAAGACAGGCUGCACAGCUGCCUGCGUGUGUCGUGCAUCCGGAGACCCACAUUACAAAACGUACGACGGGUCGAAAAUUCACUUCAUGGGCGUUUGCAAGUACACGCUGACCAAAACGACCGAGAAGACUCCAUGUGCUUUCAACAUCAUGGUGAAUGGUACAGGGAUAGAUGUGAGCAAAUCACGCUUCGAGAAAGGUGGUAUUUUACUGACAACAGUUGGACGUCGUUUUGUUAAGCUUCAGUCAGCUUCGUGCGGAGUGACAGUUCUUUGGGAUGGCAAACACUCCGGGAGGUGCGGUCCAACACCGGCGUUUUCCAGCUGCACAAAGACGCAGACUGCAAAAUAUAGCAAACCUGAAGCUUGUGGUCUGAUGUCGGACACUUCGGAUCAAAACCCGUUCGGGAAAUGCGUAGAAUGGAUGAAAAAGUCAGAGGAGCCGGACGGAAUCAAUCCGUUCUCAUCAUGUCUCAUUGAUGCCUGCAACAAUGACGGACCUGCACUCAAGAAGAUUGUGUGCUCAGCGCUCGAAGAAUUUGAGGAGCAUGUGUAG